rnacentral:rRNA from 1 species
GAUGAACGCUGGCUACAGGCUUAACACAUGCAAGUCGAGGGGAAACGACGGGGAAGCUUGCUUCCCCGGGCGUCGACCGGCGCACGGGUGAGUAACGCGUAUCCAACCUGCCUCUGACUGAGGGAUAACCCGUCGAAAGUCGGCCUAAUACCUCAUGGCAUCGUCUGCGGGCAUCCAACGACGAUUAAAGAUUUCAUCGGUCAGAGAUGGGGAUGCGUCUGAUUAGCUUGUUGGCGGGGUAACGGCCCACCAAGGCGACGAUCAGUAGGGGUUCUGAGAGGAAGGUCCCCCACAUUGGAACUGAGACACGGUCCAAACUCCUACGGGAGGCAGCAGUGAGGAAGAUUGGUCAAUGGGCGAGAGCCUGAACCAGCCAAGCAGCGUGCAGGAUGACGGCCCUAUGGGUUGUAAACUGCUUUUAGGCGGGGAUAAAGUGAGGGACGUGUCCUUCAUUGCAGGUACCGCAUGAAUAAGGACCGGCUAAUUCCGUG